UAUAAGCCUCCUAAAAGCUAGCUCCCCUCCCCAAUUUAACAAACAAGUAUUAAUUAGACCCUAAAACCCUAAAGUAAUAAAACAAAUCAUUUUUCCCCCAAAGUAUAGGAGAUAGAAAAG
rnacentral:rRNA from 1 species